rnacentral:rRNA from 1 species
GACGAACGCUGGCGGCGUGCUUCACACAUGCAAGUCGAACGAAGUGGCGAACGGGUGAGUCACGCGUAAUCCACCUGCCCUUCAGAGGGGGACAACAGUUUGAAACGACUGAUAAUACCGCAUACUGAUGGCGGGGAUUGCGUCUGAUUAGCUAGUUGGGGGGGUAACGGCCCCCCAAGGCGAUGUUCAGUCGCCGGUUUGAGCGGGUGAACGGCAACAUUUGGACUGAGACACGGCCCAGAGUCCUACGGGAGGAAGCAGUGGGGAAUCUUCCGCAAUGGACGAAAGGCUGACGGAGCAACGCCGCGUGAGUGAUGACGGCCUUCGGGUUGUAAAGCUCUGUUAAUCGGGACGCGGUACCGGAAUAGAAAGCCACGGCUAACUACGUGCCAGCAGCCGCGGUAAUAC